CUUCCGUAGGGGGAACCUGCGGAAGGAUCAUUACCGAGUGCGGGCCCUCGCGGCCCAACCUCCCACCCUUGUCUCUAUACACCUGUUGCUUUGGCGGGCCCACCGGGGCCACCUGGUCGCCGGGGGACGCACGUCCCCGGGCCCGCGCCCGCCGAAGCGCUCUGUGAACCCUGAUGAAGAUGGGCUGUCUGAGUAGUAUGAAAAUUGUCAAAACUUUCAACAAUGGAUCUCUUGGUUCCGGCAUCGAUGAAGAACGCAGCGAAAUGCGAUAAGUAAUGUGAAUUGCAGAAUUCCGUGAAUCAUCGAAUCUUUGAACGCACAUUGCGCCCCCUGGCAUUCCGGGGGGCAUGCCUGUCCGAGCGUCAUUUCUGCCCUCAAGCACGGCUUGUGUGUUGGGUGUGGUCCCCCCGGGGACCUGCCCGAAAGGCAGCGGCGACGUCCGUCUGGUCCUCGAGCGUAUGGGGCUCUGUCACUCGCUCGGGAAGGACCUGCGGGGGUUGGUCACCACCAUAUUUUACCACGGUUGACCUCGGAU
rnacentral:rRNA from 1 species